CUCUCGCUUACACCGAGACAAUAUCUGUUAAACCCGGAUUACCUUGAG
rnacentral:tRNA from 1 species